UGGGAGCGUCAAGUUUUGGUUUGCCUAUUUCUUUUUAAAACAAAUUUUUUCGAUAUUUUAUUCCCUCUGGUGAUGCAGGGACGAUAAUAAUUUUCUUUCUCUUGUUUGAUCUUCCGGUUUUGCAUUCUAAUUAUUUUCUCUUGUCUUUUGUUUGUGAGGUUUGAUUUGAUUCUGGCUUUAAUGCAUGUUAUUUUCUGGGGUGCAUUGUGUUUUGAAACAAUAACAUUUUAUUAGCAUCAAGCCUCAGGUUUUAUUCUGGUCUACUUGGAAUGCAAAUUAUUUUCAUUUAAUUUUUAAUAUUCCAAUUCUUUUUUUUUUUGACGUAAGUAGAGAUUUUUUUGGUUUUUUGUUUGUGUUUUGGGACAAGCUUGGUGGCCCUCUCUUUGUCAUGCUACUUUUCUUUCUUGGAUCUUUUUCUACAACCUGUUUGUUACAGCCUAAUUUUAUUUUUUAUAUAUGGUAUUAACAGAGUAAGUACAAGUGUUAGGUAAAAUCUGUCUCAAGUUUCUUUGUCACUUUGUGCUGCUUAUCUUUUGUAUACGAAUUAGCCAUAAUGUUCAGCUGGCUGUGAUAUAUUUUUUUUUUCUAGGCUUUAAUUUGGUGAUCUGUACUCAUUUGAAUUCUUUACAUUUCAUUAUGGUGAAUGUUUAUGGUGAGGUUAUCACAUACCUCUUUUUAUCUUUGGGAAAUAAUUGGUAAUUGAUAAGUUAUAAUUAUUUCUUGGUGCAUUGAAGUUUCUAUAACAUGAAUUUUACUCGGUUGUUUAGCAUAUAAGAUUCUGGAGUAACUCUUUCUUUCCCAAGAUGAGGAAUUUUGGACAACUUGGUUAGGUGCAGUUUGUUAUGAUGAUCUGUUUCAUCGGCCCAAGAACUCCUCUGGUAUUAAGGUAGAAGAUUAAAUUGGGACGUUUCAUAUUGAGCACAACAUGAUAUUGCAAAUUGGUGUAGUAUUGCUUUAAUUUUGUCAUCUCUACUAUAAGAAAGACUUCAUAUUUAUAUCUUUUUGAUACUCAUCAACUAUUAUGCAAGACAACUAUGAUUGUGUAUUUUUUUGGGAUAGUGUUGGAACAUGAGUAUGAAGCAUUUAAGAUUCCCGAAUACAUCUCUUUGCCAUCCCCAAGGAUGAGGAACUGGACAAGCUUGGUUUGCACUUUUUUGUUCUUUUGACUUUUCAUUUAUGGAUUGGUUAUGAAGAAUUCUUUGCACAAUUUAUCGGAUAAAAUUCUUUAUUGGAUAAUCAAAAUAUGUGUUAAUCCGUUUUGCAGAUAUAUGAAGUCAUUGGAUAUAUGAACAUUUUGUGAUUGCUUUUAUGAGAAUUUCACACCAUCAAACUUCUCUUGACUCUUCUUUAACUGAUCAAAAUUUUGUUUUGUAUAAUUCUUCGUUUGAAAAUCAAGAGAUGCGAAGUUUCGAUGUUUAGAAUGACUUGAUACAAAGGACAAGAAUGGAGAAGAUAAAUCAAAUUUCUUCAAUGAGUCGUUCUAUACUAUUUUUAUUUAAUUUUGGCCUUUGAUUUCAAGACGUAGGAAUUGAAGUUUGAACAUAUUUUUCUAGUUUGUCAAAAUAAUAACCUUCUAAUUUGUGAUUGUGCUUGGCUGGUUAUACUUGUUAUCGUGCUUCCAUUCGGAAAUCUCUUUUCUGACUAUGAAUUUUUCAUGUUUCUUUGUUUGUUUUGAGGAUCAAUACUUAAUUCCUUCAUCAGUUUCUGUGGUGUUACAAGGGUGAGAGACUAUGAAUUACUGUGCGACUUGAAAGCUGUGGUAGACAUUAUUAAGGAAAAGCUUUGAGCCUUUGGAUAUAGCGGGUCAAUUUUCCUUGAAUUUACUUGUUCUGGAAUAGGUGUCCUAUGAUUUUUAUGUUCACAAUUACAAGUCUUAAUAUUUGGAGAGCUUUAGUAAUUAUGAUUUUAUAGUACAUAUCUAUCUCUUUCUUGGAUUAUCUCCAGAUAUACAUCUAUUUUGCAGUGAGUUGAAGUUUGAUAUAAUAAAGGAGAGUGAAGAUAAAUCAUGUUUCUUCAAUGAAUCAUUCUUUACUAUUUUUUACUUUCGAGCUUUGUUCAUAUGACAUACAAACUCAAAUUGCGAAUAUACUUUUCUGCAGCAUGGUUUGGCGAAAUCCUAGCGUAGAGCCUCGUGUUUUGAUUUGGAGAUCUCUAGUAAAUUCUUUUUAUUUCAGUGUUUCAUUAUUGAUUCUAGGACGAUAUAUUUCUUUAUGUUACUUUUCUCUAUGGUUUUGCAGGAGAGGUUGUUUAUAAACACACAUUUGGUUCUGGUUCUAUUCUCUCACUAUUUUUUCUUUUGUACUCUGGUCUCUUGAUGUUGAGGUUUGAUUUGGUGGUUGCUAGUUAAUACUAAAAAUAUAAGAAUAUUGAGAUAUUUGUUUAUCUAUUUUGCAGCAAGUUGGAUUUUGGAUAUAUGAAACAAUUUGCGAUUAAUGGAUAAGAACGAUUAUGGCUAUAUACAUAAUCAAAUUUCAUCAAUAAGUCGUUCUUUAUUACUUUUAGUUUUGGGCUUUGAUUGCAAAGACAUACAAAUUGAAUUGUGAAUUUGUUUUUCUGCAGCAGCGUGGUUUGUGAAAAUCAAAAUAAUAACUAUCUUUCAUCAUAGCGUGGAGCCUUCAUGUUUUGAUUUUCUUAUCUCUCUUAAAUUAUUUUAGUUUUCAAUAACUCUAUUGCUUUUGAAUGCAUAUUUUCUUGAUAUUUUAUUUCCUCUGAUGUUGCAGGAAAGUAAUUUGUGAACACCGAUUCCUUUUGGUUCUGGUUCUAUCUUUUUUUUAUUAAUCUUCAUGUUUUGUAUUCUUAUUUACUUUUGGUCUUUUGAUUUAGUUCUGCGCUUUGUGCUACUUCUUUAUCCAUGCUUCUCAUUCAUUCUUGGGAUUUAAUUGGUCUUUUUUUUUUAUUAUAUGUAUUUGUUCCCAAAUAAUAGUCUUUGAUCGUGUUCAAGCUGAUGUUUUUUUUUGUGUUUCCUCUAGUGUUGAAGUUUUGUGUUUCGGUAUCCACAGCCUUGAGUAUUACUCUGUCAUAGGGUACAAGAUUCUGAAAUAUCUCUCUUUGCCUUCCCAAGUUGAGAAAUUUUGGACAAUUUCGUUACGUCAUGUGUUGUUUGCUUUGAUGGUUUGUUAGUUGGUGACAAAAUAACUUUGUUGGGAAAGGUUUUCUAUAAUUUUCUCUUGUUGCUUUUAUUUUGAUUUGUGAUUUAAGAUUAAUGCGAUGAUACUCCUAAAAAGAUAUCCUCUUCAUUACAGUGGCCUAAGGGCAAGACUUUGGCACCAAGGUACACAAUUCAAUCACUUUUUACUUCACUCCUUCUUGAUGACAUACUGACUUGAGCGUUGGAGUGCUAACAUGUUUUGCAGGUAUCUUUCUCCCCACCGUGAUCCACCGUACCACAAAUCUAACGCCACCGUAACUGCCUUAAGCCUCACCAUUGGAGUUAUCUCAUUCUGAUCUGGUCAGAAUAGAUAAAUCAAUUUAAUAUCUUUUUACUAUUUUUUAGGAUUUGAUUUUAAGCAAAUUGAAUUAAGAACAUGUUUUUGUGCUGCGUUGGUUGUCAAAAUUCAAAAUAUUAACCUUCUUCAUAACAUGUAGAUGGAGCCAGAAUUUUGAUUUGGUGAUAGCAUGUUUUUCUGCAACCUUUCUUAAUAGCAUGGUUUGUGUAUACAAUAUGAAUUCAUUGAGGAGAAGACAAAAAGAUAUUCUAAGAUACUUUAAAAUAAUAUCAAAGAUACUAAAGAUAUUUUUGGAUAUUUUAACGGUUUGAAUCUUCAUGUUAUGUAAUCUUUUGAGGUUUUAUUUGGUUGUUGGUUUUGAUCUUAAAGUUUGCUGUUCUAUUUUUAUUGAUCUGCUACUAUAAUUAAGUUUCUUUUGUCAAUUGUUUUGUGAAACAGAUGCAUGAUAUGAUUAUCACCUCUUGUUGAAUUGUGAAUUGAAAACAUGUAACUUCUAUUAUGAAGCAAUCAGGUUUAAUUUCGUACAUACUUCUUGGAUUGUGAAUUAUUUUCAAUUCAUUUAUACUCUGUGGAUUUUUAUUGUGCAAUCUUCUCUACAAGUUUAUUGAGGUGUGAAUUAUGUUGGUAUUGAAAAGUUCAGUUGUAGGGUUUCUUUGUGCCAUCAAUACAUUUAAGUUUUUGACUUGUAUAAUUUGACUGUGUGAAAGUUACAAAAUUCUGGAUAAAUUGGGAGUGAACAGCUUUGUGGAGCUCUCUUCCUAACUAUGAUCUUCUGAUCAGGGACUUUUAUUCAUAGAUUUUUCUACAUGUAUUUGUCACAUCGUGAUUUUAUUAUUCUUUGUUUGUUCAAGAUGGUGUUGAUCGUGCAUCCAGAACCUUUGUACUACUCUAGCAUAGAUUACAUGAUUUUGGAAUGACUCUUUGGCCUUCCCAAGAUGAGGAAUUUUGGACAACUGAAUAUAAAUUUGAUUCUGAUGAUUUGUUCUUGGUGAUAGCUUAACUUUGUUGGGGGAGGUUUUCUAAAUCUCCAUAACUGUUUUGUUGUUUUUAUUGUGAUUUAUGAUGAUGAUUUGAUGAUGAUACUCCUAAAAAGAUACCCUAUUUAUUAUAGUGGCCAAAGGACUCUGCUGUAUUUGGAAGAAGCCAAAAUCAUGUCAUUUCAUAUGGUUACAAUGAUCUUGCAAUGAUCUUACAAAUUGGAUGGAAAUUUAGUCAACUCUUCCAAGACUCUUCUUUACAUUUUAGUGUUAUUUUUAUACUCAACACAGAAAAGUUCAGUUCCUUUGAGUUUUCUUUGUUGUUGUUAUAGGGGAGAGAGCCUAUAAAUGGGUGGUUCACUGUGGAACCCAUGGCAGCCAGAGGUUGACAUACUGUUCAGCUUGGGAUUUUGGAUAGUGUCAGAGUUUUUGUGUAUAUGUAUCAGAAAUGUAAGUAUGAAUGAAGCAAUAAUGAGGAAUUUUGGUUUGGUUCCAGAAUCUGCAAUUGGCUAGCUGUUUCAUUUGGUUAUCUCUACUCUGACUAUGCAUUCUUCAUGUUUCUUUGUAUAUUUUGAGGAUAUAGUUUUCUUGAUUCUAAGGACCUGUUUUUGCUGUACUGUCGGAUUUGAAAGCUUUAAGCCUUUGGAUUCAACGGGUUACUUUUUUCUUUGAGUGUUUGUUCUGGAAUAGGAGGUGUCCUAGUAUGAUGUGGCAGUGCUGGUAUUUAUUUAUGUUUAGAAUUAUGAAUCUAAGUAUUAGCAGUGCAUCUCUUUCUUGGAUAAUCAAGAUAUAAGCCUAUUUUGCAGUGAGUUGAACGUUUGUAGAUACUUGAUGCAUUUUGUAGUGAGCUGGUUGAUUUUUGAUUUCUGGAUAUCUGGAACAAUUUGCAAUUAUUGAUGAUAAUGGCUACAGAUACAUAGAUCAAGUUUCUUCAAUGAAGUCGUUCUUUAUUAUUUUUAAUUUUGAGCUUUCAUUGUAAGAUACAAAUUGAAUUGUGAGCUUAUUUUUCUGCAGUGUGGUUUGUCAAAAUAAUGAUGUUUAUUCAUCAUAGCAUGGAGCCUGAAGUUUUGGUUUGCCUAUUUCUUUUUAAAACAUACUUUUUUGAUAUUUUAUUGCCUCUGGUGAUGCAGGGACGAUAAUAAUUUUCUUUCUCUUGUUUGAUCUUCCAGUUUUGUAAUUCUGGUUAUUUUCUCUGGUCUUUUGAUUGUGAGGUUUGAUUUGGUUCUGGCUUUAAUGCAUGUUAUUUUCUGCAGUGAAGUGUGUUUUGAAACAAUAACAUUUUGUUAGCAUCAAGCCUCAGGUUUAUUUGGUCUACUUGGAAUGUGAAUUAUUUUCAUUUCAUUUUUUCUCUGCCGAUUCUUAUUGUCUAGUCUUCUGGAUUUUUUUUUCUAGGCUUUAAUUUGUCAUCUGUACUCAUAUUUGAAUUCUUUACAUUUCAUUAUAUUUGUUUCAGCAUCCACGCUUCUUGAUUGCUUUGUGAAAGCUUAUGGUGAGGUUAUCACAUACUUUUCCUUUUUUAACUUUGGGUGAGUUUUACUCGGUCUUUUAGCAUAUAAGAUUCUGGACUAACUCUUCCUUUCCCAAGAUGAGGAAUUUUGGACAACUCGAUUAGGUUCAGUUUCUUAUGAUGAUCUGUUUCAUCGGCCGAAGAACUCCUUUGCUAUUAAGGUAGAAGCUUAAAUUGGGACGUUUCAUAUUGAGCACAGCAUGAUAUUGCAAAUUGGUGUAGUAUGCUUUAAUUUGGUCAUCUUUGCUAUAAUAAAAACUUCAUACUGAUAUCAUUUUGAUACUCAUCAACUUUAUGCGAGACAAAUGUGUCCUGCCAAUACUGGAGUUUAUAUUGUUUUCAUAUCAGGAUUAAAGCAUCCAAGAUUUGAAGUAUAUCUUUAUGCGCAUGCUGACAGCUUGGUUCUGUUAAUUUGCCACUUCCUUUGAAAGUGAGGAAACCCAAAUAAUUGUCAUUUAAGAUGGAGCACCAAUCUGUAAUUGGCUGUGCCAUAUGUUCUCACUGUCAUGAUGCAAAGAUUUGGUGAUCUCUACUCUGGCUAUGAAUUCUUCAUGUUUCUAUUUCUCAAGGAUUUAGUUUUCUUGAUUCUUUAAGUUUCAUGUGGGUGUCACAGGUAGGAUAUGGAUAUAUGGACUGCGAAAGCGGUGGCGGGAAUAUGACUUUUGCUGUGUUACUGUGGAAUUAUCUAUCAAUGUGAUGUGGUAAUGUUGAUUUGUGUGUGUUGUUUAUUAGGAAUCUAAGUAUUAGGAGAGCUUUAAAAUGUAUAAUUUUGUUGUAUGUCUGUUUCAAGGUGAGGAGUUGAAUAUAUAUGACCAUGGGCUCUUCGUUGAAUUUUUUUUUCUUUCUUUUUUCAGGCUUUGUUCUGGGUUUCUGUGUUGAAACAAAUGCUUAAGUUUUUUAAUAUGGUGACAAUUAUUGGAUUUUAAGUCAAUUUUACUUGAUUGGUUCUCUGUUGAUUCUUGUUGUUUUUUCUUCUCGAUUUACAGGAGAGAAAUAAAUGAAUGUGUGACUGGCGGAGAUUAUUAUUGGUUGGGGUUUGCUUUAAUACUAUUUUUUAAGCCUUAACCUUUAUUUUCUUACAAUUGCUUGUCCUGCAUUUGUUUUUCAUGUUUAGAAUCUGUGUAUAUUUUUCACUACUCAACUCGGGCCAUGAUUGGUGAACAAGUUAAUACUGACUCAUCUCUCUAAAUAUACUGUUACAUAUAUUAAUGUAACCUUGGAAGUGGCAAUUAAUCAUCAAGAACUAACUUAUUAUUUGUACAACUAAAACGAGAAGAAUGAUUCUUAUUCCUAUAUAUGGAUGCAUCAUACUGAAAUCACAAUAUAAUAGUACUUAUUCAAGAUAGAGGCCUACUACAUUGAUUCUUAGAGCUAUAUUUUCUUUGAUUUUUUGAUCCGUUGACUAGAUUGUUUGCUCUGUCGAGGCUAUAAACAAAUUUACAUUUGUGUAUUUGUUUUGGGAUACUCAGUAUCUACUUUUACAGUUCCUUUGAGUUUUCUGUGUGGGAGAGAGGUACACAUACUUUCCGUCCAGUCUAUAAAUGCGUGGUUUGCUAGGGAUCAAGUGUCAGAAAAAGGUUCACAUACUUCCAUUCAGCCUUGGGAUAAACAAUCGUUUUACUUACAUGUGUAUUUUUGUUGGGAUAGUGUUUCAGAUUCCAGAGUUACAUCUCUUUGCCAUCCCCAAGGAUGAGGAACUGAACAAGCUUGGUUUGCACUUUUUUGUUCUUUUGACUCCUCGUUUAUGGAUUGGUUAUGAAGAAUUCUUUGCACAAUUUAUUGGAUAAAAUUCUUUAUUGGAUAAUCAAGAUAUGUGUUAAUCCGUUUUGCAGCGAAAUGAAGUCUUUGUAUUUUGUGAUUCUUGAUUAAAUGGAUAAGAACAGAUAACAUUUCCAGAUAAAUCAAUUUUCUUCAAUGAGUCAUUCUUUAUAAUUUCUAUUUAUUUGCUUGGAUGGCAAGACAUGCGAAUUGAUUAGUGAAAAUGUUUUUCUGCAGCGCACGGCUUCUUCAUAGCAUGGAGCCUAGAGUUUUAAUUUGGUGAUCUCUAGUAAAUUCUUUUUGUUUCAAUCUUUACUGAUUAUGAGAGCAUAUAUUUCAUGAUUUGUUAUUUAUUCUUUUGUGUUGCAGGUGAGGAUGUGAUUUUGAUAUACAUAUUGAUAUGCUUUCAUGAGAAUUUCAUACCAUAAAACUUUUCUUGACUCUUCUUUAACCGAUCAUUUUUUUUUUUGGUAUAAUUCUUCGUUUGAAAAUUAAGAGAUGCGUUGAUCUGUUUUGUAGUGAGCUGAGAAGUUUUAAUUUCUAGAAUGACUUGAUUUCAAGACGUAGGAAUUAAAGUUUGAACAUAUUUUUCGAGUUUGUCAAAAUAAUAACCUUCUAAUCUGUUAUAAUUUUUUUUUCCUUCUGUACUCUUGUCAGUUGUGAUAUAUAUAAUAUAAGAAUAAGAAUCUUUUAUAGGGGGAGCCUAGUGGAACAGUGAAUCUGCAAUUGGCUGUUGUACUUGUUAUUGUGCUUCCAUUCGGUGAUCUCUUUUCUGACUAUGAAUUUUUCAUGUUUCUUUGUUUGUUUUGAGGAUCAAUACUUAAUUCCUUCAUCAGUUUCUGUGGUGUUACAAGGGUGAGAGACUAUGAAUUACUGUGNNNNNNNNNNNNNNNNNNNNNNNNNNNNNNNNNAGACAUUAUUAAGGAAAUGCCUUUGAGCCGUUGGAUAUAGCGGGUCAAUUUUCCUUGAAUUUACUUGUUCUGGAAUAGGUGUCCUAUGAUUUUUAUGUUCACAAUUAACAAGCCUUAAUAUUUGGAGAGCUUUAUUAAUUAUGAUUUUAUAGUACGUCUCUAUCUCUUUCUUGGAUAAUCUCCAGAUAUACAUCUGUUUUGCAGUGAGUUGAAGUUUGAUAUAAGAAUGUUUGUAGAUACUUGAUACAAUGGAUAAUAAAGGAGAGUGAAGAUAAAUCAUGUUUCUUCAAUGAUGAGUAGUUCUUUACUAUUUUUACUUUCGGGCUUUGUUCAUAUGACAUACAAACUCAAUUGCGAAUAUACUUUUCUGCAGCAUGGUUUGGCGAAAUAAUGUUCUGCUUAGCGUCGAGCUCGAGUUUUGAUUUGGAGAUCUCUAGUAAAUUCUUUUUAUUUCAGUGUUUCAUUAUUGAUUCUAGGACGAUAUAUUUCUUUAUUUGUUACUUUUCUCUAUGGUUUUGCAGAAGAUGUUAUUUAUAAACACACAUUUCGUUCUGGUUCUAUUCUCUCACUAUUUUUUCUUUUGUACUCUGGUCUCUUGAUGUUGAGGUUUGAUUUGGUGCUUGCUAGAUAAUACUAAAAAUAGAAGAAUAUUGAGAUAUUCGUUUAUCUAUUUUGCAGCAAGUUGAAUUUUGGAUAUAUGGAACAAUUUGCGAUUAUAAUGGAUAAGAACAAUAACGGCUCUAGAUACAUAAUCAAAUAAUUUCAUCGAUAAGUCGUUCUUAAUUACUUUUAAUUUUGGGCUUUGAUUGCAAGACAUACAAAUUGAAUUGUGAAUUUGUUUUUCUGUAGCGUGGUUUGUGAAAUUCAAAAUAAUAACAAUCUUUUUCAUCAUAGCGUGGAGCCUUCAUGUUUUGAUUUUCUUAUCUCUUUUAAAUUAUUUUAGUUUUCAAUAACUUUAUCGCUUUUGAAUGCAUAUUUUCUUGAUAUUUUAUUUCCUCUGAUGUUGCAGGAAAGUAAUUUGUGAACACUAAUUCCUUUUGGUUCUGGUUCUAUCUUUCUUUUGUUUGAUCUUCAUGUUUUGUUUUCUUAUUUAUUUCUGGUCUUUUGAUUUAGUUCUGCGCUUUGUACUACUUCUGUAUCCAUGCUUCUCUCAUUCAUUCUUUGGAUAUAUUUAGUCUUUUUUUUUUUAUUAUUAUUAUUAUAUGUAUUUGUUCCCAAAUAGUCGUCUUUGGUUGUGUACAAGCUGCUGCCGAAGUUUUUUUGUGUUUCCUCUAGUGUUGAAGUUGUGUGUUUCAGUAUCCACAACCUGAGUAUUACUCUGUCAUAGGGUACAAUAUUCUGAAAUAUCUCUUUGCCCUUCCCAAGAUGAGAAAUUUUGUACAAUUUGGUUACGUCACGUGAUGUUUGCUUUGAUGAUUUGUUAGUUGGUGACAAAAUAACUUUGUUUGGAAAGGUUUUCUAUAAUUUUCUUUUGUUGCUUUUAUGUUGAUUUGUGAUUUAUGAUUAAUGUGAUGAUACUCCUAAGAAGAUAUCCUCUACAUUACAGUGGCCUUAGGACAAGGCUUUGGCGGCAAGGUACACAAUUCAAUCACUUUUCACUUCACUCCUUCUUGAUCACAUAAUGACUUGAGCGUUGGAGUGCUAACAUGUUUUGCAGGUACCUUCCCCACCGUGAUCCACCGUACCAGAAAUCUAAUGCCACCGUAACUGCCUUAAGCCUCACCAUUGGAGUUAUCUCAUUCUGAUCCGGUCAGAACCUUUGUCAUUUCAUAUUGGACGGAGUUUGUUCCAAUGAAUCAUCUCCAACUGGCUUUAAUUUGGUCAUCUUCUUAGACUCUUCACAUUUUCAUUCUUUUGUUGGAUACUCAGCAUCUACUUUGUCAGUUCCUUUGUCUUUUAUGUGUGGGUGUUACAGGAGAGAGAUAACCUAUAAAUCGGUGGUUUGCUGUAGAACCCGUGGCAGGAAGGUUCACAUAUUUACAGUGAAACCGGACAUUUUUUAGAAAUUCUGGACAACUUGGUUUGGAACUUUUAUGUUCAUUUGCCACUUCCUUUGUUAAAAUCAUUUUUCUAUAUUCUUGUAUUCUUGUCAUUUGUGGUAUAUAAAAUAAUCUCAAACAGGUAUCCCUCACAGAAUUUGCAAUUGAAGAACGAACUUGGUAUAGGGAAUGGAACACCGGAAUCUACUCUGACUGAAUUCUUAAUGUUUUUUUGUUUGUUUUGUGGAUCUAGUUUUUUUAUUCCUUUGUCAGUUUGGCAUAGAUUAUCUAUCAAGGGCAUGCUUUUGCUUUGGUGUAACAGGUGGGAGAGGCCAUGAUUGUGUACCGUGGGAUUUGAAAGUUGUCGCGGACUUUAUUAAGGAAAUGCUUUGAGCCUUUGGAUUUAAUUCUGGAAUAAGUGUCCUAUGAUAGUGUCAAUUUUUAAGUUCAGAAUUACGAAUCUAAAUAUUAGGGAGAGCUUCAGCAUUUCAUAUCCAUAUGUUUCUUGAAUAAUCUUAAGCUAUACAAUCUGUUUUGCAGUGAAUUGAAGUUUGAUAACAAGAACGUUUGUAGAUACUUGAUACAAAGGAUAAGAAAGGAGAUUCAAGAUAAAUCAUGUUUCUUCAAUGAGUCAUCGUUUACUAUUUUUAUUUUCGAGCUUUGUUUAUAAGACAUACGAAUUAAAUUGCGAAUAUACUAUUCUGCAGAAUGGUUCGACAAAAUAAUGCUGUUCUUCGUAGCGUAGAGCCUCAAAUUUUGAUUUGGAGAUCUUCAGUAAACUCUUUUCGUUUCAGUGUUUCGAUAUUAAUUUUGAGAGCAUAUAUUUCUUUAUUUAGUAUUUUUUUUAUUUGGAUUUUCAGGAGAGGAUAUCUAUAUAUGAAUGAAGACACAAUUCCUUCUGGUUCUUGUUUAUUAUUUUUUCUAUGGUACUCUGGUCUUUUGAUGUUGAGGUUUGAUUUGGUUAUUGCUGGUUUCGAUCGUGGGGAUUAUUUUUCUUAUAUAUUUUGCAGCGAGCUGAGCUGACCUCUGGAUAUAUGUAACAAUUUGCAAUUAUAAUGGUUAAGGACGAUAAUGGCUACAUAUACAUAAUCAAAUUUCUAGGAUGUGUAAUUCUUAAUUAUUUUUAUUUUUGGGCUUUGAUUGCAAGACAUACAAAUUGAAUUUUUAACUUGUUUUUCUGCAGCGUGGUUUAUCGAAAUCAAAAUAAUAACGAUCUUUCAUCAUAGCAUGAAUUCCCACAAGUUUUGAUUUGCUUAUCUUAUUUAAAAUAUUACUGUAUAGUUUUGUUGCAGGAAGGUCAUUUGGGAACACUUAUUCCUUCUGGAUCUGGUUCUAUCUUUCUUUUGUUUGAUCUUCAUGUUUUGCAUUCUUACAUGUGAAUUUAAAUAUGAUGCUGUUUUCUGCAGUUUAGUGUUUUUUUAAAAAAUAGCAUUCUGUGUAGUAUCAACUAUCAAGCCUCGGAUUGUGAAUUAUUUUCAUUUCUAUUCUUAUUGUCUAGUUGAUUUACUUCUUUGUUCUACAUUUGGCUUUUUUAUCUGAAUUCUGACAGUGCAGAAGUUUACACGAGGAAGUUGGUGGGCAUCUCAUUGUAAUGCUGAUAUGCGACUUGGUUUGAAGAAUUAUGCUACUAUUCUUUCUUCUUUGUUCUUUUUCUUACAACCUAUUUUUCCUAGCGUAAUUUUUUCUGUUAAUGCAUCAUGUGCUGUUGGCAGAGCAAGUUUUACAUGGGUUUGGUGUACCACAGAAGUUUCCUUCUUUCUCAAUCACACUGCACCUUUUUAAUUCACCAUCUGAAGUGGAGAAUAUUGGAGAUGAGUUUCGUUGCCGCUUUGUACACCUUCUGUGAACAAAUUUACAAGGACACAUGAACCAUAAUGUUCUGAUGGACGUGUUAUCUAUUUACUAGGGUGAUCUCUACUCUGAUUAUGAAUUCUUUAUAUUUCGGAAUAAUCGUUUCAGCAUCUAUGCUUCUUGAUUCCUUUGUCAAAUCUUAGGGUUAGGUUAUCACAUACUCCCCCUUUUAUCUUUGAGUGAUACGUAUUUCUUCCAGUGUAGAAGUUUUUGUGUUUUUCUGUAUCUGUAACUUCAGUUUUACUCUCUGGGUACAAGCUUUUGGAGUAAAGCUUCCCUUCCCAAGAUGAAUUUUGGACAACUUGGUAGGCCCUUCAGUUGGGGGGUUUCCUUACCCUAAAUACUAUACUUUCUUACAUAUGCUUGUCCUAGAUUUGUUAUUUGUUUGUAUCAUUCCUGAGAAUCUGUGUAUGUUUAUGUUUUAGUUUUGUGCAGUGUCCCAAGGACUCAUCUGUAUAAUGAGGAUGCCUAAAUUGUGUCAUUUCAUAUUGAUUACAAGUUCUUGCAAAUUGGAAGGAAAAUUGUUCCAUUGAAACAUUUGGUGUGUUGAAUACUCGGCAUCUACUUUUUGCAUUUCCUUUGAGUUUUCUGUGUGGUUAUUAGAUGGCUUAUGAAUGUGUGAUAUGUUGUGUCCUGCCAGUCUUGGUGGUUUUGCGUUUCUGCAUCAAGAAUGUGAGAACCGAAGCGUACAAGAUUCUCUAUAAUAUAUCUUUUCUAUGAUUACUUAAGCGUAUAUCUCUUCUCUGGAUACUUAAGCUGCUUUGGCGCUUUACUUCAUCCAUCAAAUUUUCACUCAGCUUUUUUGAUUGGUGUCUUAGGAUAAAGCGCUAUCCAUAUGUUUCAAAUAUUAUAAAAGACCCGAUCAGGAUUUCUGGGACAUGAGUUUUGUAAUACUCAUUAACAAUCAUUGGCUCUAGUUAAAUCUGGUUUGUUCAUUGAAUUGUUUGGCAUUCAUUUUUUAGGCUUUGAUCUCGCGUGUAAGGUAUCAUGAACCUCUUUUAUGCAUAUUAGUUUGUUCAAAGAAUAAAGUUAUAUGUAAUAUCAAGCCUGUGUAGAACUUCAUAGGGAGACU
rnacentral:lncRNA from 1 species